rnacentral:rRNA from 1 species
AUUGAACGCUGGCGGCAUGCCUUACACAUGCAAGUCGAACGGCAGCACGGGGGCAACCCUGGUGGCGAGUGGCGAACGGGUGAGUAAUACAUCGGAACGUGCCCAAUAGUGGGGGAUAGCUCGGCGAAAGCCGGAUUAAUACCGCAUAAGACCUGAGGGUGAAAGCGGGGGAUCGCAAGACCUCGCGCUAAUGGAGCGGCCGAUGUCAGAUUAGGUAGUUGGUGGGGUAAAGGCCUACCAAGCCGACGAUCUGUAGCUGGUCUGAGAGGAUGAUCAGCCACAUUGGGACUGAGACACGGCCCAGACUCCUACGGGAGGCAGCAGUGGGGAAUUUUGGACAAUGGGCGCAAGCCUGAUCCAGCAAUGCCGCGUGCAGGAUGAAGGCCUUCGGGUUGUAAACUGCUUUUGUACGGAGCGAAAAGGCUUCCACUAAUACUGGGGGCUCAUGACGGUACCGUAAGAAUAAGCACCGGCUAACUACGUGCCAGCCGCCGCAGUAAUAC